rnacentral:lncRNA from 1 species
AUGGUUGGGGGUCUUUAUCUGUUUGAAGAUGGAGUCUGCAUAGCUGAUAUCCUGCAUAGAGAUUUGGGCGAGAAGCUUACUCAGUGGAAAUGGGAUUCGGUCCAGACCAGUCAUAAAUCAAAUUUGGUCUCCUCUCUUUCCAUUUCCCAAGUAACAACAGUGAAUUGCCACUAAUCACCACAUUUCUGCCUAUACAUACACCAUUUUCUGUGCGUAUAGGUUUAGAUUUUCCUGUGUCGAAGGCUUAAUUGUGACCGCGAUCAUCACUCGGACGAGCAUCCACUCAUAAUCAAGGAGGAGUCCAUCUGAUUGAAGCAUUUCGCACAUCCGAUUUCGCUCGAUUUUUUCC